rnacentral:rRNA from 1 species
GGAAGGAGAGUACCUGGAGAAAAAGCAUCGGCUAACUCCGUGCCAGCAGCCGCGGUAAUACGGAGGAUGCGAGCGUUAUCCGGAUUUAUUGGGUUUAAAGGGUGCGUAGGCGGCCUGCCAAGUCAGCGGUAAAAUUGCGGGGCUCAACCCCGUACAGCCGUUGAAACUGCCGGGCUCGAGUGGGCGAGAAGUAUGCGGAAUGCGUGGUGUAGCGGUGAAAUGCAUAGAUAUCACGCAGAACCCCGAUUGCGAAGGCAGCAUACCGGCGCCCUACUGACGCUGAGGCACGAAAGUGCGGGGAUCAAACAGGAUUAGAUACCCUGGUAGUCCGCACAGUAAACGAUGAAUGCUAGCUGUCCGGGGGGAUUGACCCCUGG